rfam:Heligmosomoides polygyrus genome assembly, scaffold: HPBE_scaffold0005611
CCGCCGGUGGUGGAAGGCGUAACAUCGCCGCCCGGAAAGGAGAAGGUGCGGGUUCGAUUCCCGCCUGGCGCA